rnacentral:rRNA from 1 species
UUCCUACGGGGGGCAGCAGUAGGGAAUAUUGGUUAAUGUGCGAAAGCGCGAACCAGCAACGCCGCGUGCGCGAUGAAGGCCUUCGGGUUGUAAAGCGCUUUUUGAGGGGAUGAGGAAGGACAGUACCCUCAGAAUAAGUCUCGGCUAACUACGUGCCAGCAGCCGCGGUAACACGUAGGAGACGAGCGUUAUCCGGAUUUACUGGGCGUAAAGCGCGUGCAGGCGGUCCAGAAAGUUGGAUGUGAAAGCUCCUGGCUUAACUGGGAGAGGUCGUUCAAAACUACUGGACUUGAGAGUGGUAGAGGGAGGUGGAAUUCCGGGUGUAGUGGUGAAAUGCGUAGAUAUCCGGAGGAACACCAGUGGCGAAAGCGGCCUCCUGGACCAUUUCUGACGCUCAGACGCGAAAGCUAGGGGAGCGAACGGGAUUAGAUACCCCAGUAGUC